CUCCUUCGGGAGCCUAGUAGAGUGGCAAACGGGUGAGUAACGCGUGGGUAACGUACCCUGAUCCUGGGAAUAACCGUCGGAAACGAGGGCUAAUACCGAAUGUGGCGAACGAACGGUUGGUCGCUCGCUAAAGGUGGCCUCUUCUAUGCUGCCGGGUUGGGAUCGGCCCGCGUCCCAUUAGCUAGUUGGUGAGGUAACGGCUCACCAAGGCCACGAUGGGUAGCCGGCCUGAGAGGGUGUACGGCCACACUGGCACUGAGACAAGGGCCAGUCCCCUAUGGGAGGCGCAGGCGGGAAUAGUUCACAAUGGGCGAAAGCCUGAUGACGCGACGCCGCGUGAGCGAAGAAGACCUUCGGGUUGUAAAGCUCUGUCAGGAGGGAAGAAGGCUCUACGGGUUAAUAGCCCGUGGAAUUGACGGUACCUCCAGAGGAAGCCCCGGCUAAAUACGUGCCCAGCAGCCGCGGUAAUACGUAUGGGGCAAGCGUUGUCCGGAUUUAACUGGGCGUAAAGGGGGCGUAGGCGGUUUGUUAAGUCGAAGGUGAAAUCCUCGGGCUCAACUCGAGAAUUGCCUUCG
rnacentral:rRNA from 1 species